rnacentral:rRNA from 1 species
GAUGAACGCUGGCGGCGUGCCUAAUACAUGCAAGUCGAGCGAACGGACGAGAAGCUUGCUUCUCUGAUGUUAGCGGCGGACGGGUGAGUAACACGUGGAUAACCUACCUAUAAGACUGGGAUAACUUCGGGAAACCGGAGCUAAUACCGGAUAAUAUUUUGAACCGCAUGGUUCAAAAGUGAAAGACGGUCUUGCUGUCACUUAUAGAUGGAUCCGCGCUGCAUUAGCUAGUUGGUAAGGUAACGGCUUACCAAGGCAACGAUGCAUAGCCGACCUGAGAGGGUGAUCGGCCACACUGGAACUGAGACACGGUCCAGACUCCUACGGGAGGCAGCAGUAGGGAAUCUUCCGCAAUGGGCGAAAGCCUGACGGAGCAACGCCGCGUGAGUGAUGAAGGUCUUCGGAUCGUAAAACUCUGUUAUUAGGGAAGAACAUAUGUGUAAGUAACUGUGCACAUCUUGACGGUACCUAAUCAGAAAGCCACGGCUAACUACGUGCCAGCAGCCGCGGUAAUACGUAGGUGGCAAGCGUUAUCCGGAAUUAUUGGGCGUAAAGCGCGCGUAGGCGGUUUUUUAAGUCUGAUGUGAAAGCCCACGGCUCAACCGUGGAGGGUCAUUGGAAACUGGAAAACUUGAGUGCAGAAGAGGAAAGUGGAAUUCCAUGUGUAGCGGUGAAAUGCGCAGAGAUAUGGAGGAACACCAGUGGCGAAGGCGACUUUCUGGUCUGUAACUGACGCUGAUGUGCGAAAGCGUGGGGAUCAAACAGGAUUAGAUACCCUGGUAGUCCACGCCGUAAACGAUGAGUGCUAAGUGUUAGGGGGUUUCCGCCCCUUAGUGCUGCAGCUAACGCAUUAAGCACUCCGCCUGGGGAGUACGACCGCAAGGUUGAAACUCAAAGGAAUUGACGGGGACCCGCACAAGCGGUGGAGCAUGUGGUUUAAUUCGAAGCAACGCGAAGAACCUUACCAAAUCUUGACAUCCUUUGACAACUCUAGAGAUAGAGCCUUCCCCUUCGGGGGGCAAGGUGACAGGUGGUGCAUGGUUGUCGUCAGCUCGUGUCGUGAGAUGUUGGGUUAAGUCCCGCAACGAGCGCAACCCUUAAGCUUAGUUGCCAUCAUUAAGUUGGGCACUCUAAGUUGACUGCCGGUGACAAACCGGAGGAAGGUGGGGAUGACGUCAAAUCAUCAUGCCCCUUAUGAUUUGGGCUACACACGUGCUACAAUGGACAAUACAAAGGGCAGCGAAACCGCGAGGUCAAGCAAAUCCCAUAAAGUUGUUCUCAGUUCGGAUUGUAGUCUGCAACUCGACUACAUGAAGCUGGAAUCGCUAGUAAUCGUAGAUCAGCAUGCUACGGUGAAUACGUUCCCGGGUCU